rnacentral:misc_RNA from 1 species
UCAAACAGCGGCCUUCGGGCCUCGCUGCACCCUUGUCUUUUGCGCACCGUAUUGUUUCCUCGGCGGGCUUGCCUGCCGGUUGGACAUCAUCAAAACCUUUUUGUAGUUGCAAUCAGCGUCAGAAAAACAAAUAAUUAUUA